UACGGGGGGGGCAAGCGUUGUUCGGAAUUACUGGGCGUAAAGGGCUCGUAGGCGGCCAACUAAGUCAGACGUGAAAUCCCUCGGCUUAACCGGGGAACUGCGUCUGAUACUGGAUGGCUUGAGGUUGGGAGAGGGAUGCGGAAUUCCAGGUGUAGCGGUGAAAUGCGUAGAUAUCUGGAGGAACACCGGUGGCGAAGGCGGCAUCCUGGACCAAUUCUGACGCUGAGGAGCGAAAGCCAGGGAGCAAACGGG
rnacentral:rRNA from 1 species